rnacentral:lncRNA from 1 species
AUGUUUGCAGCCAGGAAUCACCCUUUCCUAGAUCCACUAAUCCAUCAGAAUUUGGACAUCAUGGGCAGUAAUGAUUUUAAUGAAACCUGUCUACCCUACUGCAUUUUGUGGGAAUUUCAUAAUGAUCUUGAACAGAGGCAGUUGCCAAAGUGUAUCUGUUCCUCACCACGUUUUAUCCAGGGCAGAUUUUUGAAGAAACUGGAAGACUUGCUUCCUCAACGGCGAACUUGCAAGCGGCCACCUACACCAGGGAAGCAGCGUUUCCCCCGUUCCUCACUGGAGACCAAGGCCGGUCUGUGCUGA